GAUGAACGCUGGCGGCGUGCCUAAUACAUGCAAGUCGAGCGAACGGACGAGAAGCUUGCUUUUCUGAUGUUAGCGGCGGACGGGUGAGUAACACGUGGAUAACCUACCUAUAAGACUGGGAUAACUUCGGGAAACCGGAGCUAAUACCGGAUAAUAUUUUGAACCGCAUGGUUCAAAAGUGAAAGACGGUCUUGCUGUCACAUAUAGAUGGAUCCGCGCUGCAUUAGCUAGUUGGUAAGGUAACGGCUUACCAAGGCAACGAUGCAUAGCCGACCUGAGAGGGUGAUCGGCCACACUGGAACUGAGACACGGACCAGACUCCUACGGGAGGCAGCAGUAGGGAAUCUUCCGCAAUGGGCGAAAGCCUGACGGAGCAACGCCGCGUGAGUGAUGAAGGUCUUCGGAUCGUAAAACUCUGUUAUUAGGGAAGAACAUAUGUGUAAGUAACUGUGCACAUCUUGACGGUACCUAAUCAGAAAGCCACGGCUAACUACGUG
rnacentral:rRNA from 1 species